rnacentral:rRNA from 1 species
AUGAACGCUGGCGGCGUGCCUAAUCCCUGCAAGUCGCGCGAACGGACGAGAAGCUUGCUUCUCUGAUGUUAGCGGCGGACGGGUGAGUAACACGUGGAUAACCUACCUAUAAGACUGGGAUAACUUCGGGAAACCGGAGCUAAUACCGGAUGAUAUUUUGAACCGCAUGGUUCAAAAGUGAAAGACGGUCUUGCUGUCACUUAUAGAUGGAUCCGCGCUGCAUUAGCUAGUUGGUAAGGUAACGGCUUACCAAGGCAACGAUGCAUAGCCGACCUGAGAGGGUGAUCGGCCACACUGGAACUGAGACACGGUCCAGACUCCUACGGGAGGCAGCAGUAGGGAAUCUUCCGCAAUGGGCGAAAGCCUGACGGAGCAACGCCGCGUGAGUGAUGAAGGUCUUCGGAUCGUAAAACUCUGUUAUUAGGGAAGAACAUAUGUGUAAGUAACUGUGCACAUCUUGACGGUACCUAAUCAGAAAGCCACGGCUAACUACGUG